ensembl:lncRNA
CAGACCGGGAGAUAAAAGCCCCGAUGGUGAUCGUGAGUGAUGGCAAGAGGAUUUAGCCUCAGCAUUAACUUGGAGCGGAGUGCAGGGGGGCAGUGAAGCGCCCCGGCCAUCUGGCCCCCGCCGCGCCCCGGGGGGGGGGAAUGCCCCGGCGCCCCGACGAGCCGCCGCGAAGCCCACCCGGGCCGGGGGCUGCCCGGUGCCCGAGCGCGGGUCCUCUCCGAGCCGCCCAGGGGGCCCCAAAAGUUUGCACUUGUUAGCGGCGACCUCCGGCUCGGCCCCCGGCGGGCGAUGCGGGCGGCGCGGGCGGCCCCCUCCCCCGGCCCGCGUCUCCGGGACGGCUGCGGGCGGCCCCCCCGGGGGCCGGAGGGCUCCCCAGCCCCGAUCUGACAGCCACAGAGGCGGCGGGGGAAGGAGCAGCGGCUCGCAGCCCUCGGCCUUCGCCCCCACCCAGCGCCAGCCGGACGGGGGAGCAGAGCGCCGGAGGGUGGCGGCCUCCGGGGUCUCCGCUCCGGGAAGCCGCUCCGAGCCGGGGGCUUCGGUGACCGCGCAGGCUUUCCCGGGGCCCGGGAGCCACUUAACAGUAGCCCAGCCGAGGCUCGGAUGCAAAAGUUAUUGGUGGCGACUGCUACAAGAGGAGGACCGGAGUCGCUUGGAGAGGGGUUGUAAAAAUAGUCUCCAGGCGGAUUCUUUCUGAGAGUUUUCUAGCAAGGAGCACAUUCAAGGCCAGGAGGACUCUGUAAC